CUUAAGCUGUCAACAUAGAUAAUAGGUUGUCAACGUUCGACUAUAUUCGUGGCUCAUCAUGGUGUGACAGCUUGAAUUGGCUGUUAUGUGGUUAUGGUAUCAUUGAUAUUGUUCUUUUAUUAUUUUCAGUUAUUUUAUCAGACUGCUUAAUAAAUUUAUCAUUCACCCAUUCAUCGCAAUUGAUAUUUGAUCAUAUUUCUGCAUACAGUAGAAACAAACCAAUUUAUUUAAAAUGUAAAUUGAUUUAAAAAUGUCGAAGGAGCUAACAAUCGUAUUUGUUUAUAAUACUGAUUUGGUAAAGCAUGAAUAUGAUGAUCCAGCUUUAGCAGUUGUGUAUUUUUGCCCUUCAUGGCUCUCAGAAGAGAAGAAAACAACUAUUUGUGGUCAAAUAAUAGGAACUACUCACUUCUUAAAAUCUGUAUUUGGACAAACUCAAAUAAUUUCCCUUGAGAAUGGAAAGUUUUGUAUCAAGGAGUUUGGAAAAUUUAUUAUGGUAUUUUAUUAAAAAUUUAUAUGUAGAUAUACAAGAACAAGGCCUAGUUUUAAGCAGUUGCUUUAUGAUACUUCCAGUGUUGGCUUUAAGGGGGGGGGGCAGGUCGGGCGGCUAUGUACCCAUAGGUUAAAAGUUUUUGGUUUAAAAGCUGAAAUACAAUUAAGAUAUAAAAUUGUAAAUUUUAAAUUUCAUUGAAAUAUAUACACAAAAAUUCAA